AGUGAACGCUGGCGGUAGGCCUAACACAUGCAAGUCGAACGGCAGCACAGUAAGAUCUUGCUCUUACGGGUGGCGAGUGGCGGACGGGUGAGGAAUACAUCGGAAUCUUCUUUUUCGUGGGGGAUAACGUAGGGAAACUUACGAUAAUACCGCAUAUGACCUACGGGUGAAAGCAGUGGAUCUUCGCACCUUGCGCGAUUGAAUGAGCCGAGGUCGGAUUAGCUAGUUGGCGGGGUAAAGGCCCACCAAGGCGACGAUCCGUAGCUGGUCUGAGAGGAUGAUCAGCCACACUGGAACUGGGACACGGUCCAGACUCCUACGGGAGGCAGCAGUGGGGAAUAUUGGACAAUGGGCGCAAGCCUGAUCCAGCCAUACCGCGUGGGUGAAGAAGGCCUUCGGGUUGUAAAGCCCUUUUGUUGGGAAAGAAAAGCAGCAGGUUAAUCCCCCGCUGUUCUGACGGUACCCAAACAAUAAGCACCGGCUAACUUCGUG
rnacentral:rRNA from 1 species